GCUCCUCCUCUCUAAUCCUUCGUCCCUGCGUGAGAGUGCUUUCGGAAUGCAGUGCACCCAGGCAAGGAUUUUGAGAGGGUGAAC
rfam:Fukomys damarensis contig140820, whole genome shotgun sequence.